UACGAAGGCCUCAAGCGUUAUCCGGAAUUAUUGGGCGUAAAGAGCUAAAAGGCGGCUAGGAAAGUUGGGCAUAAAAGCCCAGAGCUCAACUCUGGAUCUAUGCUCAAAACUUCUUAGCUAGAGGGUGGGAGAGGCAAGCGGAAUGGCUGGUGUAGCAGUAAAAUGCGUUAAUAUCAGCUGGAACACCAAUGGCGAAGGCAGCUUGCUGGAACACUUCUGACGCUACAUAGCGAAAGCGUGGGUAGCGAAUGGG
rnacentral:misc_RNA from 1 species